GUUCUUGUAGCUCAGUUGGUAGAGCGAGCGGCUGUUAACCGCUGUGUCGUAGGUUCAAGUCCUACCUAGAACGCCA
rnacentral:tRNA from 2 species